rnacentral:rRNA from 1 species
AUCGAACGCUGGCGGCAUGCUUUACACAUGCAAGUCGAACGGUAACAGGCCGCAAGGUGCUGACGAGUGGCGAACGGGUGAGUAAUGCAUCGGAACGUGCCCAGUCGUGGGGGAUAACGCAGCGAAAGCUGUGCUAAUACCGCAUACGAUCUAUGGAUGACAGCGGGGGAUCGUAAGGCCUCGCGCGAUUGGAGCGGCCGGUGUCAGAUUAGGUAGUUGGUGGGGUAAAGGCACACCAAGCCAACGAUCUGUAGCCGGUCUGAGAGGACGACCAGCCACACUGGGACUGAGACACGGCCCAGACUCCUACGGGAGGCAGCAGUGGGGAAUUUUGGACAAUGGGCGCAAGCCUGAUCCAGCAAUGUCGCGUGCAGGAAGAAGGCCUUCGGGUUGUAAACCGCUUUUGUACGGAACGAAACGGUCCGGGCUAAUACCCUGGGCUAAUGACGGUACCGUAAGAAUAAGCACCGGCUAACUACGUGCCAGCAGCCGCGGUAAAAC